CUGCUAAAAAGGUUAGGCCUCACUUGAAAAGAACAAGUGAACGGCGAAAGCUGGGAGGAAACCAGAGCAAACCUGCCCAGACAUGGGGAGAAUGUGCAAACUCCACACAGAGAGUCACCCGAGAGAAGAAUCGAACCUGGAUCCCUGCCAUUAUGAGACAGCUGGGCUAAUCGCUGAGCCACUGUGCUGAGAAUUGUUGAAUUCUUUCAACUGGGACCUGAACGCAUUUCUUUCUAAGGUACUUGGACCUAAGAUGGCACCGUAAGAGAUAACUAUGUCAAACUUUCACCAUACUCCUGCAUUUCUGUACUUGAGUAUACAUGACUAAAAAGGUGUAAGAUCAA